GACGGAGGGGGCUAGCGUUGUUCGGAAUUACUGGGCGUAAAGAGCGCGUAGGCGGUUUGGUAAGUUGGAAGUGAAAGCCCGGGGCUUAACCUCGGAAUUGCUUUCAAAACUGCUAAGCUAGAGUGUAGUAGGGGGAUGAUGGAAUUCCUAGUGUAGAGGUGAAAUUCUUAGAUAUUAGGAGGAACACCGGUGGCGAAGGCGGUCAUCUGGGCUACAACUGACGCUGAGGCGCGAAAGCGUGGGGAGCAAACAGG
rnacentral:rRNA from 1 species